CUUGACUGCAGCUCUCGCAGCAACAUACCUCCACAGAGCCCCAGCUCUCCUCUGUCAGACAUGCCGGACUGCAGCGAGGGCGCGCCAGCAUCAUGUCAGGUUAUCAAGGAGGACGUUGACAAAUGUGUCAGAGAGAGGGGAGUGGAAGACUGCAAAGAUCUGAUUGAUGCCUUCCAGGCUUGUAUAAAGACCCUGUCGGAGGGGUCAUAAUAAAUGAGGAAAUGCGUAUUAAUAAAAGCUUCAGAGUCCUUCACUUUCUCAACACUUCCCUGUUUACUGUAUUGGACCCAAUCAUGUGAAAAACUGGGAAAGAGGUCGAUGAUGAUACUGGAAUUCAAAUAUAUGCUCCUGUGAAUGUGAAUGUUCCUUUCAUAAAUGUUAUCACCCUG